AGUCUUAACUAGGACUGUUCUAACAGUGUGUUCUCAGCUUUUUGCUAUCAAAAGCAUUGCAGAGCUCAGAAGAGUCUGCAAACAUUUUCCUUUCUCCCUCCAAGGCCAGAAGGGAAUAAUGUCUGGUGGCCUACCAGAGGGACUGCUGUGGCUGUUGCUAAUCGGACAAUGCUGUGGAAGGUUUCAUAAAGAGUUCGCAACUUGCGUGAAGAAACUGAAGCUUUAUGAGUGGGCAUGGCAGGCUCCACUUCGAUCAACUGCGACACUGCAGCUUCAGCAAAGAUGAAUGGUUCCAUCGCUUGACACAGCAGCAGGAUAGGCCUCUGGAUCGCCUGGAAGUGAAGCAUCUGGGGACAUCUCCUAAUAGAGACAGAAUCAAAGAAAAACAAGGUGAUAAUAAUUUAGUAGAGACGAGGAAUCGUGUAAACCAGGUUGUCCUUGAUCCAGCUCCGACUGUCUUUACCUCCCAAGGGUAUGCAGCACCAUGCCUGGAUAUAAAUGCUAUUAAAUGAAAUGUUAGUUUGCUCUCUUACUGUCUAAGAUUUCAAGAUGCUAGAUAUAUCAUACAAUAAAAAAACAAGAUAUUUUAAUGUCACUGUUUGAGUGACAAAGAAAUUCAAGUAAAUUAUUGUGAAUUCAUGUUCUAAAAUUUUUUUGUAUUAAACUAUGAUUGCUAU
ensembl:antisense